GUACUCACUUUGGCAGCAAUUAUACUAAAAUUGAAACUAUACAGAGAAGAUUAGCAUGGGCCCUGCACA
rnacentral:snRNA from 1 species